GACGGUCUUGCUGUCACUUAUAGAUGGAUCCGCGCUGCAUUAGCUAGUUGGUAAGGUAACGGCUUACCAAGGCAACGAUGCAUAGCCGACCUGAGAGGGUGAUCGGCCACACUGGAACUGAGACACGGUCCAGACUCCUACGGGAGGCAGCAGUAGGGAAUCUUCCGCAAUGGGCGAAAGCCUGACGGAGCAACGCCGCGUGAGUGAUGAAGGUCUUCGGAUCGUAAAACUCUGUUAUUAGGGAAGAACAUAUGUGUAAGUAACUGUGCACAUCUUGACGGUACCUAAUCAGAAAGCCACGGCUAACUACGUGCCAGCAGCCGCGGUAAUACGUAGGUGGCAAGCGUUAUCCGGAAUUAUUGGGCGUAAAGCGCGCGUAGGCGGUUUUUUAAGUCUGAUGUGAAAGCCCACGGCUCAACCGUGGAGGGUCAUUGGAAACUGGAAAACUUGAGUGCAGAAGAGGAAAGUGGAAUUCCAUGUGUAGCGGUGAAAUGCGCAGAGAUAUGGAGGAACACCAGUGGCGAAGGCGACUUUCUGGUCUGUAACUGACGCUGAUGUGCGAAAGCGUGGGGAUCAAACAGGAUUAGAUACCCUGGUAGUCCACGCCGUAAACGAUGAGUGCUA
rnacentral:rRNA from 1 species